GAUCAUGGCUCAGGACGAACGCUGGCGGCGUGCUUCAUACAUGCAAGUCGAACGAGAAGCUGACUUCGGUCAGUGGAAAGUGGCGGACGGGUGAGUAAUAUGUAGAGAAUCUGCCCUUGAGUGGGGGACAACAGAGGGAAACUUCUGCUAAUACCCCAUAUGAGCUAACUUGAAAUAGUUAUCUUGAAAACUCCGGUGCUCAAGGAUGAGUCUGCAUCUGAUUAGCUAGUUGGCGGUGUAAUGGACCACCAAGGCGACGAUCAGUAGCUGGUUUGAGAGGAUGAUCAGCCACAAUGGGACUGAGACACGGCCCAUACUCCUACGGGAGGCAGCAGUAGGGAAUUUUGCGCAAUGGGCGAAAGCCCUGACGCAGCAACGCCGCGUGAACGAUUAAGCCCUUCGGGGUGUAAAGUUCUGUCAGUAGGGACGAAUUUUGACGGUACCUACAGAGGAAGCACCGGCUAACUCCGUGCCAGCCGCCGC
rnacentral:rRNA from 1 species